rnacentral:rRNA from 1 species
AUACGGAGGGUGCAAGCGUUAUCCGGAUUUAUGGGGUUUAAAGGGUGCGCAGGCGGAUAAUUAAGUCAGUGGUGAAAUCCUCCCGCUCAACGGGAGAACUGCCAUUGAUACUGAUAAUCUGGAAUACGGUUGAAGUGGGCGGAAUGUAGCAUGUAGCGGUGAAAUGCAUAGAGAUGCUACAGAACACCGAUCGCGAAGGCAGCUCACUAAGCCGAUAUUGACGCUCAGGCACGAAAGCGUGGGUAGCGAACAGGAUUAGAAACCCCUGUAGUCC